rnacentral:rRNA from 1 species
UACGUAGGGACCGAGCGUUGUCCGGAAUCAUUGGGCGUAAAGAGCGUGUAGGCGGCCACUUAAGUCUUGCGUGAAAUCUUGCGGCUCAACCGCAAGCGGUCGUGGGAAACUGGGUGGCUAGAGUGCGGGAGAGGAGAGUGGAAUUCCUGGUGUAGCAAUGGAAUGCGCAGAUAUCAGGAAGAACACCCAUAACAAAACGGCUCUCUAGAACCGCAACUGGACGGCUGAGACGGCGAAAAGCGUGGGGAGCAACAGGGAUUAAGAAACCCCCGGUAGC